GAUGAACGCUGGCGGCGUGCCUAAUACAUGCAAGUCGAGCGAACAGACGAGGAGCUUGCUCCUCUGACGUUAGCGGCGGACGGGUGAGUAACACGUGGAUAACCUACCUAUAAGACUGGGAUAACUUCGGGAAACCGGCGCUAAUACCGGAUAAUAUAUUGAACCGCAUGGUUCAAUAGUGAAAGACGGUUUUGCUGUCACUUAUAGAUGGAUCCGCGCCGCAUUAGCUAGUUGGUAAGGUAACGGCUUACCAAGGCUACGAUGCGUAGCCGACCUGAGAGGGUGAUCGGCCACACUGGAACUGAGACACGGUCCAGACUCCUACGGGAGGCAGCAGUAGGGAAUCUUCCGCAAUAGGCGAAAGCCUGACGGAGCAACGCCGCGUGAGUGAUGAAGGUCUUCGGAUCGUAAAACCCUGUUAUUAGGGAAGAACAAAUGUGUAAGUAACUAUGCACGUCUUGACGGUACCUAAUCAGAAAGCCACGGCUAACUACGUG
rnacentral:rRNA from 1 species